rnacentral:rRNA from 1 species
CAGCCGCCACGGUAAAACGAAGGGGGCUAGCGUUGUUCGGAUUUACUGGGCGUAAAGCGCACGUAGGCGGACUUUUAAGUCAGGGGUGAUAUCCCGGGGCUCAACCCCGGAACUGCCUUUGAUACUGGGAGUCUUGAGUAUGGUAGAGGUGAGUGGAAUUCCGAGUGUAGAGGUGAAAUUCGUAGAUAUUCGGAGGAACACCAGUGGCGAAGGCGGCUCACUGGACCAUUACUGACACUGAGAGACGAAAGCUAGGGGAGCAAACAGGAUUAGAUACCCCAGUAGUCCCUGUCUCUUAUAC